rnacentral:rRNA from 1 species
CCUACGGGGGGCUGCAGUGAGGAAUAUUGGUCAAUGGGCGGGAGCCUGAACCAGCCAAGUCGCGUGAGGGAAGACGGUCCUAUGGAUUGUAAACCUCUUUAGGCGGGGAGCAAAGCCGGGCACGCGUGCCCGGAGGGAGAGUCCCCGCAGAAUAAGCAUCGGCUAACUCCGUGUCAGCAGCCGCGGUAAUACGGAGGAUGCGAGCGUUAUCCGGAUUUAUUGGGUUUAAAGGGGGCGUAGGGGGAUUUUUAAGUCUGCGGUAAAAUGUCCGGGCUCAACCCGGGCCGGCCGUUGAAACUGGGGAUCUUGAGUGGGCGAGAAGUAUGCGGAAUGCGUGGUGUAGCGGUGAAAUGCAUAGAGAUCAUACAGAACACCGAUUGCGAAGGCAGCUUACCAAUCUAUAUCUGACGUUGAGGCACGAAAGCGUGGGGAGCAAACAGGAUUAGAUACCCCUGUAGUC